rnacentral:rRNA from 1 species
GUGUCAGCAGCCGCGGUAAUACGUAGGGUGCGAGCGUUAAUCGGAAUUACUGGGCGUAAAGCGUGCGCAGGCGGUUAUGUAAGACAGAUGUGAAAUCCCCGGGCUCAACCUGGGAACUGCAUUUGUGACUGCAUGGCUAGAGUACGGUAAGGGGGGAUGGAAUUCCGCGUGUAGCAGUGAAAUGCGUAGAUAUGCGGAGGAACACCGAUGGCGAAGGCAGUCCCCUGGACCUGUACUGACGCUCAUGCACGAAAGCGUGGGGAGCAAACAGGAUUAGAUACCCUUGUAGUCC